rnacentral:lncRNA from 1 species
AUAUGGGAGGCCCUCAAGGUGGGCCACCAAGGGAGUGGUAAGAAUGACCGAUAAGGUCCAGUCCACUUUGCAGAGAGUUAAGGGGAGGUGCCUGUUGGGGGGUUAAAGGUACCAGGGUGCCAGAGACCGAGUGGGAAAGGAAGAGGCAGAACUAGGCUUGGCCAGAGCAGCAUCACUGUGUUGCCAAAGAAGGUUCCUAAUGUGUGCAAAAAGGGGCCAGAAAAGAUGAGGAGCAAGGGGCAGUGGAGAAUCAGAGGGGCUGAGCUGAGCAUGGAGGUGGUUCCAUAUAGGAGCUCAGAGGGGAGAUGUGGAGUGGCUUCCUUGGGAAGGCUUGAGACCUAAGAAGAGCCCAAGGAAGGAUUUAGUCCAAUCUAAAUGUAAUCAAGGGAUAGUUUAGUGAGAAUGUUCUUCAAGGUCCAGUUGGUACGUUCCACCUUGCCAGAGGACUGGGGAUGCCAGGGGACAUGAAAAUGCCAGGAGAUGUUGAGUGCCUUAGCUACUGACAUGAAACAUGGGGAGUAAAUUCAGGACCAUUGAGACUGGAGCGAGGAGGGGAGGCCGAAUCGGGAAGAAUGUGUUCAACCGGGAUGUGGCCACCAUAGGGGCACACUUAUUGGUGGUAGGAAAAGCCUUGACCCAUCCCGGAAAGUGUUGAAAGUACCAAGAGAAAGUUGUGCCUCUUGACCGAGGGCACAUGGGUGAAGUCCAGCUGCCAAUCAGAGCCAGGGAGAUGUCCUCUUGCCUGGUGUAAAGGAAGGCAGGGGGUGGAGAUUGGAGGUAGGAUUGGGUUUCUGGCAGAUUUUACAGGAGGCAGAGGGUAGAGAGGAAUUGUAGGUCCUCUGGAGAGAGUUUGAGGUGGGAUGUGAGAAGUUGUUUUAAAGGUGUGGUGUUGGGGUGAGGGGGUGAAGGAAGGUGAGCCUCUGUUGAGCAUCAGCUGGGGGAGAGUCCGUCAGGGACUAGCAAGGCCGAGGACUGCAGGUGGACUAGGCUGUCGCAGCACCGCGGCCCUCGCAUUGGAGUCUGCCUUGUUGUUGCCGAGUGUCACACAGGAGGUGUCUGUCUGGUGGGACUUGAAAUGUGAUUUUCCAGGGGCUGGGGAUGUGGCUCAAGCGGUAGCGCCCUCACCUGGCAUGCGUGCGGCCCGGGUUCGAUCCUCAGCACCACAUACAAACAAAGAUGUUGUGUCU